rnacentral:rRNA from 1 species
UUGACGGGGAGCACCACAACGGGUGGAGCUUGCGGUUUAAUUGGAUUCAACGCCGGAAAUCUUACCGGGACCGACAGCAAUAUGAAGGCCAGGCUGAAGACUUUGCCGGAUUAGCUGAGAGGUGGUGCAUGGCCGUCGUCAGUUCGUACUGUGAAGCAUCCUGUUAAGUCAGGCAACGAGCGAGACCCACGCCCACAGUUGCCAGCGUACUCUCUGGAGUGACGGGUACACUGUGGGACCGCCGCUGCUAAAGCGGAGGAAGGAAUGGGCAACGGUAGGUCAGUAUGCCCCGAAUAUCCCGGGCUACACGCGAGCUACAAUGGUUGGUACAAUGGGUAUCUACCCCGAAAGGGGACGGGAAUCUCCUAAAACCAAUCUUAGUUCGGAUUGAGGGCUGCAACUCGCCCUCAUGAAGCUGGAAUCCGUAGUAAUCGCGUUUCAACAGAACGCGGUGAAUACGUCCCUGCUCCUU